rnacentral:tRNA from 1 species
GCUGAAAUAACUUAGUUAGAAUGUGUGGUUGUUAAUCACAACAAGGUGGUUCAAGCCCUCCUUAUAGCA